AUCUCGCCCAAAAUCUGUCCUUGUUAAUUCGUUGUCUAUAUGCAUAUCGUUGCUAGACCCUAAAAGGCUAACCUUGGGGACAUAUCAAUCAUAUAACCGCCAACUUAAUCAUGAGUCUGCAGUAACUGCCAGUCCUGAGACAGUGGAAGGGAUGCUCGGGAGCUUAGGUAAGGUUCUCUUUUGAUGAUUUACACUGCUAUUCCUCCUGCUUUUUAACUUGUUUGGUGUUUGAGUAAAAAGGCAGAGGCUGCAAACAUUAUUUAAAGACCCAAAUUGGAAGGAAAUUUUCUUGAUUCCUAUCAUUUAUCUAAUAGGGAUGCUAAAGGAAAAUGGCUAGCAAAAUGUACUGCAAUAGUUUGUUGCAAGUUUAUUGAGCUAGAGUAUUCUGGACAAUAGUGUUAACCUACAAAGUGCAUGCAUACAUGCAGCCUAACAAAUCAAAGAGUGAGAUUUCAUUAUUAAUAAUGGGUAUUACUCUUGUUAGAAGUGUUGCCUCUAUGAAACUUUGCUCUCUCUCUUUACUUUCCAGUUUUCCUGUUGCCUCUCUCUAAUUUACUUGACUUGUGUUAGAGGGCUGUAUCUCUUGCAUGCUCCCACCGUUAUCUCUCGCUUAUACUCUAAAUUUACCGAAAUGUGUUCCAUUCAGUUGUUUGAAGUAAUUUCAAUUCUCAGAAAAAUACUAGAAACAUAUUUGAACUUUCAGCAAUGGCCUCAAUAAUCACUUUAGUCAUUUUGGAACCUAGUAGACACACCCAUCUAGCUUGUGGACAGUUGAAUUAGACAAGGGUACAGAAGAUGUAUUGGGACUACUAUACAAAAGGAAACCGAAGAGAAAGAGAGUCAGUCAAUCAUUUUGCGGCAGUAUAUGGUGAACAACUGUAUGUUUCUGUUAACAGGUGACCUUCUGAAGCUUUUGGAUAUUACAUCUACAGAAAUUGCCUUGUUGACUACAUAUGGGAAAUUGCAGCCGCCUCUGGGAAAGCAUCGUCUGAAGGUAGUUUUUAUUUAUGUUUCUUAAAGAACCCUUUGCUUAUCAUAAGCACAGGGUUCUUUAUGUUCUUUUGUUUGUUGUUUUUAACUUAGGUUAAGUUCCCCUUUGACUUUUUUGAACUGAAUCAAUUUUUGCUAAUUACUAUCUUAUUCAAUUUCUUCGCCAGAUUGUAGAAUUCUUGUCAGUGCUGCUGACAGUUGGAAGUGAAGCUGCUGAGGAGGAACUGAUUCGUCUUGGAGCAUUCCAAAGGAUUUUAGACUUGUUUUUUGAGUGAGUUUAGAAUUCUUGACAUGGUUGCAAUGUUGAUUGGUUCCUGGAUUUAUUCAUUCGUUUUGUUCAACUGUAGGUAUCCGUACAAUAAUUUUUUGCAUCACCAUGUAGAGAACAUAAUAUUUUCAUGUUUGGAGAGCAAGAAUCCUAUUCUUAUUGGACAUGUUCUUCGGGAAUGUAAUCUUGUUGGAAAGAUACUCGAGGCAGAGAAGAAUUUCACAUUGGUUGCUGGCCCAGGCAAGGUAAUCACUGGUCAACUAAAAUAUGUCAUUGUGCUUGUGGGGAUGUAUUGCUUAGUGACCUUGGGGUUUAACUACAUGUCAUAUGUUGUAUUAAUUCUUAAAUUUAUGUUUGUUCAUUCGUCUACAGCCAACAAUUCCUGCUGAUGGUAGACCACCACCGAGGAUAGGGAACAUUGGACAUUUGACACGUAUUUCCAACAAACUAGUUCAAUUGGGGAAUAACAAUGGUGAUAUUCUGGCAUGCUUGCAGGUUUGUCCUGUGCUUUGAAAUAAUGAAUUCAUGUGGGAAUAAUAUUGUUAUUAUGAUAAGUCAGCUAAUGAAGAAGUUAAACUGAUUUGCUUUCAUUGGUACAAUAAUUUGAGUAAUUCUCUCAUGCAAGUUAAGUGUGCUUUGCAUCACAAGGGCAUUACAUUUUUUUGGGUCUCUUAUGGCUUCAUUCAUCUGCACUUUUAGCUGUUCCUGUUGUAACAUGAUUUAGAUUUACUUAUAGUUUAUGUAAAAUCUUUUCUUUCUUCCAGUGGGCAUGAACAUGUGCUCUCUCUGUAGUUUUAAGUUCACUAUUAGUAUGCCAAUUGAGCAUGCAUGCAGAAGAGGUGGAACUUACUAUUAUUAUUUGCUUGUUCCCACCAUUUGAAGUUUAGUCCUUUCUUUUCUUGGCAGGAAAAUGGUGAAUGGACUGAUUGGCAUGCAAAUGUCUUAACAAAGCGUAAUGUAGUUGAGAAUGUCUAUCAGUGGGCUUGCGGGUGGGUACUUUCUACAGAUGAUUUUCUUUGUUAUUCUUAUUUUCAGAAUUGGUUAAAACUGUAUCUCAAAAAAGAAAGAAAAUCCCAACAGGGAAAAAAAGGAGGAAAACAUUUUUUUUCUAAAAAAGGCUUUUAGUUCUAUGAGAGAUUAUACUUGGCAACCUUGGUAAUUUUCCAAAGGCAGAUGGACAAUAAACUAUGAGUGUGUGUCUGCAUGCACAAGUUUUUCUUGCCAUCACAUGUCUGGAAUUAUGGCUGUAUCAAUUGUGAUUUUUUUUUUGUAAAUGGGUCAGUAGUCUUCUGUGUAUACCUUUUGUUGUUUGCUUUUGGCCUUUGGCUUCUCUCAGUGUAUUGCUUAUUUUAUGAGGGGAAAAAAUAACAGGAGACCAACUGCUCUACAAGACCGGAGAGAUAGUGAUGAUGAUGAUUAUCAGGAUAGAGACUAUGAUGUUGCAGCCCUAGCAAAUAAUUUAAGCCAGGCAUUUCGAUAUGGCAUGUAUAGCAAUGAUGACACUGAUGAGGUAUGCUUUAUUGCAUUUGAAGUGGAUCUAUAAGCUAAUAAAUUUUGUAACUAGGAACUCUAUGAAUGUUGAAGAAGCUAGGACUAAUUAUGGAGUUGGUUUGAUUCUAAUAUGCUAGUUCUGGAGGUGUACUUGUGGGUAUGUUACUUCUGUGCAGACAGGCUAGGUUGACUGGAAAUGAGCACUUAUUUUGAUUGACCUUUGAAUCCAAUUGAAGAAGCUAAAACAGAUGGCACAUGGCUAUCUGUAUAUGUAUGCUGGGAAGUGUAAAUGUGUGUUUAAAAUAAGCCACUUGUUUGAGAGCUUUAUACGGGUGAAUGUCCUCCAAGUUCCAACAUAAUGUGGAAGAAUCAGACUGGUUAACAAAAUAGUCCCUUCAUAUUUGGAAUGGCUGCAGUAAUCUUCUUACUUCUGUCACUUGGAAGGGCUAUUUUUUAUUUAUUUAAAAAAUAUUUGCUAUUGUAGCUAUAGUCAAAUUUUCAUAGGAACAAAAGCCAAAUUGAUCAUUGAACUACUGGGCAUUGUCCAAUGAGGCUAAAGAUUUUAUCUCAUUAUUUGGUCAAAUCAGGACCAUUUUUACUGUAUCUUGUUGCAAUUUCUGACAAGCCCACUGGUACUAGUACACAUGCCAAAAAUGAAAAAUUAAAAGCAAAUUGCGAUAUUUUAUUUUGUCUUCAAGCUCCUGUAAAAAACAAAAUGGUGGUCAUGUCCUGGCUCCUGAGCCACUGAAGAAUGAGGUGUCUAAGAGUCAGGGAGAUAUUGAUAUUCUUCACUAAUCUCAAUCCAUUCUAGUGGAAUUGAAGAAAUGAAAGUGAAAAUGUGGGAACUAAAAAGAGGACAUUGUUGUCAAUGACAUUGUUUUGAGUUUUGUGGACUUGACAAAAUUGCUAUUAUAAUUGUGAGGGUAAGUUAGUUUUGGUAAGGUGGAUUCUGAUUUGGCAUUGGACAUACUUUCUUGGGACACAAGGUUUUUCAAGUGCUGGAUCGAGAUAGAGUUCAGUUGAAUUGCACAGCCUACGAUAUUAUGACCUUGAGUAACAAUUAAGUAACUAUAUGACAUAAAAGUGAAUGUGUAGAAAAUCUUAAUAUUGGACGACCAAGCAAUAAACAAGUGAGUUCAAAAGUAGGGUGUAAAGAUUAACAAGAGAAAGAAAGAGUCGGUUCAGAUUAAAGAUUACAUUGGGAAAAGAACCUUGGAUUCUUUAACUUGUAGUAACCCAGAAAAAAAGAAACAAAAGGCCCUAGGAAUUAGAAAUAAAUGAGAUCCAGUUGAGACUGGAAUUAAUAAAUUCUAAAACAUCUGUCUAUUCAAUGCAUUUACAAAGAGAUACUUGUUGAGAGAAAUUAUAGAGGGAAAGAGAUGGGAGGCAAUAAGAGCAUAAACAACUGUUCACCAAUUUUGUUGGUUCAUUUGAAAGAGAAAGGAAACAAAUAGUGAUAUCAAAUGAUGGUGUUUUGGGCUAAUAAAAUGGUGAAGCAAAAUGUUGAGAUAUGGGGUUUCUGAUAGGGUUGACUUUUCGGAACCAUUUUCAUAAUCUGGAAUACUCCAUCAUGCAAAGGUUGUCCACUAUUCCUUUAUAGGAUGUUCUGAAGUGUCAUAAAAAUUUUAUAGUGGGUUUCGUAUUCUACCCCAUUAACUCCAUAGGAAAAAAAGUGUGAUAUUAAUUGUAAACAUGUUCUCAGGGAAAGCAACUCUAAAGAAAGAGAAGUUGACAACUUUUCUAUGAAAUGUUGAGGGGUGUAAAGGAUGAAUGAAAUGAAAACUAUGAGUUGGCAUAGCAUUAAUUAUAUGUUCUUAAGCUUUGAGAAAAUGAGGGCGACAAACUUUCUGGGACAUGAUGAAUUAUAUAUUCAUUUCCUCAAUGUUCUCUAGCAUGUGUCGGGGAUAUAUUAAAGUUUAGGUAAAAAGAGACUGCAAAAUAUAAGUUUGUAUACCUAAUUGGACAUAGACCAAUACUUCAGGGGCCAAUUCUCUUGCGUGCUAGUUGCUUCUGUUUUAUAUUGGUUUUGGGAUCAACUUUUAGAAUUUAUCUUUUGAAGUCCUGAUAACCAGUCUAUCAGUUGGAAUAUGUUAAAAAUUAUAGCUUUUAUGCCUUGUAAAAUAUACAAUGUCUGAUCAUCUCCGGAUCAUCAUUUCAAAGAUAAACAACUACAUGUUCAUUUUUGUUGCUGAUUGUAAAUGACAAACUAAUAGAGAUUUAAAUACAGGGCUUUCUAUUUGCAAUUGCUCCAUGUUGGUGCAUUCAUGCAUGAGUUGCUCUUGCUUAAUUGCUUUGCUUUCUUAUUCAUUCACUGCAGGUGCAUGGAUCACUUGAACGAGAUGAUGAGGUAAUGUAUUUUCUACAGACAAGCAAAUUGCAUGAAUUGGAGACUUAUCAUGAUUCACAUGGCUGAAUAAACUGGUUCACCCCUUGGAUGGGGCUUUGUUUUGUCCUCAUCUCUUUAGCUAGGGUGAACUGAGUACUGUGGUAUAGUUUAAAGGCUAAUGAUUAAAAAAGCCACACAUUUUUUAUGCUUUUCUUCAAUUAUAUUCAAACCUUAAUUUUGUCUUUUUUACCUGAGUUUUCAAAUUUACCUUCAGAUGUAUCCAGUUGACCAAAAUUGGUUAAAAUUGAAAGAUAUUAUAUUUGUUUACGGUUAGGUUGAGGCAAUGCACUCAUGGUUAUGGACGGGGCUGGCAGGUAGAGAGGUGGUGGUGCUGGGGUUGAGGUGAUAUGGUCAUGGGUGGUUGAGUGGAAGGGACAAAUCUUUGACAUACAAACACAUGGGAAAAGAGAGAGAUUGAAUAAUGCGAGUGAGGAUAAUAAAAGCAGCAAGGUCAAUGAGCAGUGCACUCUAGUUUGGGAGGUAGGGGAGUGCAGGGUUGCAAGGAAAAAGAGAGGAGAGAGGGAAGGUAAAUUGAUGGAGAGAAGAAAUUAAGAUACAUUAAUAGUCAGUCAUUUGGAUAGCAUUGAAGCGAAGUUUUGAAAGUGGGGUAAGCUUAACAAAGUUGAAGUUUGGAUAUGAUUGAAAAAAUAUGCUCUCUUACUUAUCCCUCAUUUGGUCAUCCUUGGCAUCUCCUAUUGGCACAUAUCCAACUUCGAUGUUGGGUCAUAAUCAGGGGCAUUUGUUUAUUGUUCUUAAAAAUUAAAGAGGGAAGAAUAGAAAGGAAAAGAAAAAUAUGGUAAAAAAGGAAAAUAUGGUAAAGGAAAAUUAGUGCUUGUGUCUCUAUUGGACUUGAUUUUAGUAUGACAGCUAUACCUGCCUUUUUCCACAUCUUUUUCCUUUGCAUUUGAUCAUGUGCUGUCGCAGGAAAUAAUUAACGUGUUUAAGAUUUCUCUCUGAGAUGUUUGGCAGGAUGUCUACUUUGAUGAUGAAUCGGCUGAAGUAGUCAUUUCUUCUCUGCGUUUGGGAGAUGACCAGGAGAGGUAAGCCCUUCUUAUUCCUUCUUCCUUUAUGAUGUUGUAUUGGAAUUGAGUUUUUGGUAGACAAAUUUCUAUUUGCAUUCUCGUUGAGUGUUGCUUUUGGUUUGUCAUUAUCUCUUGUUUGUUUCUCUCGUUUUCCCCUGCCUUUAUGUAUAGAUCAUCUUAUCAUUGUAGACAUCACCCAUCUGCAGGUGAAGAUGAGGAGAUGUUAUGGCAAUUAUGAUUGUUAACAAAAAGUAUUUGACUAGCCAAUGAACAAAUUAGCUGCUUUAUCAAUGUUAAAGUCUUCAUUUUAUAGGUUAUUUUUUGGCAGAGAAGUAUGGAGCAAUGUUAAGUUUUGGAUGGGAUGUGAAUUAAGUUUGCCAUGUCUGAAGAAUUUUGUUAAACUGAAUUAUUACUUCCUUGGUUUGUCUGCCAUCUGCUUGAUUCUCAUAUGACCUCUGUAGAAUGAGAAGAAUCUUUGGAAUUUAUGAUUUGGUGUAAAGAGUUGUGAUGAUGGCCGUUUGAUUCAAUGAUUUACAUGGUACUUAUGGCUUGAUCUAUCUGUGGUGCUUGCAGUGGCUCCCUUUUUACAAAUUCCAACUGGUUUGCUUUUGAGGAUGACAGAGUUGCCAAUGAACGCUCUGCAGGAGCACUUGCUUCUUCUUCACCUAAUAAUGAAGAAACUGGUUGUGUUAAUGGUGCAGGCAAUGAUGAGACUAUGGUAGGAGAAGGUGACGACUUGGAUGCUACUGCAUCAUCUUCUCCUGUGCCUGAACCGAGUAUAGAUGAUGUAUCAGUGAACAAUUCAUCUAAAGAUGUAAAUGAAACUAGUGCAAAUGAUAAACCACCUGUAUGGGUUGAAUGGAGGGAGACACCAAAUUCCACUUCUUCUGAUUCCAACUUAUCUCUCAGGCCAAAUGGUGAGCUUCGAGUGGAUUCAGAGAUUCAGGGUGGUGAUGGUGGUCCUCAUGCUGCUAAACCUGUAUCUUCCUUGGAUACAUCGGUAGAUGACAGUAAUGCUGCUGGAAGACUGCCAAAUGCAACAAAUGAAAGCCCUACACCCAUUCUUCCUGAAUUAACAGAAGCAGGUAGUGAAAAUCCUAGUGUGGUCCAUGGUGAUUCUGAUGAUAAGACAACUGUAGAAACUGAAGUAACUGCUGUGGCCAGGAAAGAUGGACAAACAGCCAUGGUUAAUUAAGCAGAGAACUAAAUGUAAAUUCUUGAGAGUCUGUUUAUUACCUAACUGAUACACACUGCAGCAGCAACAUUUAUCAGGUGGGAAGAUGACUACUGAGAGCACUGUUGGUUGAUUAGGUGACUGUAUUUUAGAGCCUUCUGUGCAUCAUCGAUGGGCACUGUUGCUUAGCAAGGUUGAUUCUUUUUCUCACCUGCUGAUAUAGCUUGAGCUUGCUCUCUCUCUUCCGAAAGUGGUGAUGAAUAGGGUCUUGUUUUCCGCCUUUCCUAUCUGGUAAUCCAAUGCCUUUAUUAAUUAUUAGUUUCUAGCCUUCUACCUUCUAGCUUCGCCUUAGUAAUUGAUCUACAAACUGGAAUUGUCACCUGAUACUUGGACCCUUUUUUAGCACGAUUUAUAUCCAUAAAAUUUUUUCCUUUUCACAUGAAUGCCAAGGUGUUAAUCAUAGAAUCAUAUCCCAGAAUCCCUUUUAUGUUUCCCUGUUCACUUUUCAUCGUAAUGGAGAAGUUUGCAACAGUUUUACUCUCCAUAUUUAUGGUGGAAGAAUUUUCGGUCGAGGAAUUGUAUGAUUUUACCAUUUAUUUCUUUUUGCAAUGUUUCCCCUCUGAACUUGUUUAUUGCAUUCCAUACUUUUUACCUGCAAAAUUAUGAGAAAGUGCUGCAAAACUCUCAUCAUUUGAAUCAAAAUUUAGCUUUUUUAUGCACGUAUUAAAUGUGUGGUUUAGAAACAAUAGCCUCAACUUGCUUAAACUGCAACUGCAAUUGCAAUUACUCCACACUUAAUAUAUGUGAUCGGCCGAACCGAAGUUGGAUUCGGUUCUCGUCCUACAUGAUUCCAUAGAACUGAAGCAAUAAAAAUAUAGCAAGCCUCUAGUUUUAUACACGAAGGCAAAGCUUUGUAGAAUUAGAUGCUAAAGUUUAUCAUGGCAAUGGAAGUACUCAACAUGAGACAAUGAUAAGAUGAUUCCCAUUCAAUGAAAUAGCGAGAACCAGUGCGGCGUGAUGAUGAAUCAAGCGGUAGAAGUCAAUAUGAUUCUUUCUUUUUCUGUCCGCUCCUUCAAAUAUCUGUAACGCUUACCCUCCAAAAACAUUAUUUGCCUUAAUUACCCACAUUCCUUUCAUUUGGAGAUGUAGAUAUGCGCAACUUCGGCUAUAUCAUGAACACGUUAACUUGAUCUUCAUGGGAAGCCUUUAAUUUUUUUAUUGCUGGUAUUGUUCUCAUCUGGUCCACCAGCUGAAUCUGUCAUUCCGAUGUGACCAGAUGCUAUAUUCUACCUACUACGAGUGUAAAUGAGUUAAUUUUAGUCAAUUUUUGAAGAGAUCAAAUUUGAUUUAAAAUUUUGUUAAAUAAAUAUAUUCACGAGUUAUUUUAAUCCUAUUAAAUAAAUAAAUUUUAGAGUCUAAACAAAUCGAUAUCUAAUUUAGAGAAGUCGAUAUGUACAUGUUUAAAUUUGGAGAAAAUCACAUUUGAGUGAUAAUUUUAUACAAUUUGAUAAAGUAAUGGAAUUAUCCAAUCUAAGAGCUAUCCGUCUUUGAGAGUUUUCAACUAAAAAGUCUCGGUGCUCGUGAUGAUGCUACUAAAAUAAAUUUGCAGAUCAUUAUUUUAUUUGUAUAUAUUAUUAAUUAAUGAAAAUUCACUUAUUCCAAUAAUUUGCGUAAAUACUGGUAAAUUCAUUGAAAAAGUAAAAUAUUAUUUUUAAAAUUUUAAAAGUGCUCUAUAUUAAGUAUUUAAAAUCAAAAUAUCUUAUUAAGAGAAAAGAUUAUUCUAUUUAAUUUCUUAUUUAUACUUAUCCGUCUAUUGUUUUUUUAAAAAAAAAUUAUAUUACUCAACCCUCAAAUGGCUAAGAAGAAGUUGAUAAAGAUGAAUUGUAUUGCACACGGUGAAUCAUCCUAUGGAAAUUUGGUGACUAAACAACUAUACUCCCUAUUAUACACGAAUUGAUUUCUAGCGAGUGAUUAAAUUCCCGUACGGCAUAAGCUGCCUUAAGAAGACUCUUAGAUAUAUUGGAUAUUAGAUUCAUAAUAACUAUAAGCAAACUUGCACAUCGCAUCUUAUGCGAAUCUUAUGUGAAACUAAUUAGCUUCCUGUGUUCAAGAGCUCAAAUACAUUUAUUAUAGGCCAAUAUCUAUGGUUGCAAUGAAAUUUAGCUUUUGACCACUACCUGAGGAAGCUCAGUCAGAGACACUGACUCUAAUAGAGAAGCAAAUUACAAAAAGGGAAAACAAUUUGAUCAUAGGCACAUUAAUAUACUGUUGCAAGCAAGUGGACAACAAUGCUCCAAUUUUAAAGGAUGGCAACUAACCCAUAUUAAUUAUACCCUUUUUCCUCCACCCCCUCCAUUCUUUUUAACCCUUAUAACACCAUUAUAUACAUUAUCUGCCACCCUUAUUCACGUUAAUUAAUUUUUUUUAUCCAUUAUUUAAAGCCUAUUAGCUUCAUUAAAUCAAAUUUAAUAAGAAAGCACGAUUAAUUAAACGUGUAUAUAUUGGAACUAUUUUUUUUUCCACAAAAUAUUUUUAAUUUCCACAAAAUAUAUAUCGUUCACUCUCUCCCUCCCGCGAUUACAUUACAGGUGCUUUUGGUCCCUCUCUUUCUCUCUCUACCCUUCCCCUGUGUCUGUAUCUCCCUAGCAGACCCUUCGAUUUGAUCCAAUCCGAGAAGUCUAUGUGAAUCUUUCCGUAAUUUGGGGAAAUCUAGGGUUUUUGGUUUAGAUUUUUGUUUCCUUUUCUUGUCUUGUGUUGGUGAAUUGUUGAUUGGAGAUUGUUUUUAUGGUUGUUGAGUCGUUAGGGUUUGUGUGGGCUUGCGGAUCUGAGUAAGGUUUCCUGUUAAGUGGGCGUUUUUUUGGGGUAAAUUUCAAAGAUGUUUUGGCGUAUGACAGGGCUCUCCACGGCGUCGCCGGUGAGUGCUUUUUUUUUUUUGGCUCAUUUCUUGAAUCGUUGUUUCUUUCAUUUUUGAAUUCCUAUCACGUAUCUUUGAAUGCAUCUUCGUGUUCAUUUAGCUUUUUUGCUCCCUUAUUAUCGGAAUUUUUUCUUCUUGGUUGCUGGAAAGUGUGGGAAAAUAGAAGCAAAUCGACAUUUUGAAUUCUAGCUGGUUAUAGCGUCUCGGACCCAUCGUAGACUGAAACUUUGAUUCAUCAGUAUAACGUAUAGUGCCAAUUAUAAGAUUUCGAAUUUCCUUUUCUUUGAGGGAGGGAGCGUUGGGUGGGGAAGACAUUUCUAAUGUUCUUAUGGGCGGUUUUUAUAUCUUAAUAAUUGAAUUAUCUUUUUAAGACAAAGUUAUAGUGUUCUUUCACUGGAUUUGUUAAAAUGAAGAAGUGGCUGCUUUGACAGAUCAGCAUGGGCCAUGUUGUCUCCCUCAUCCAUGGUUCCUUGAACACCCAAUGUAAUAAUGGUAGUGAAAAAAAAUGCCAAAUCAACUUGAAAUUCCUUUUUGUCCAAUACACACACAAGCACAUGUUUUGGAAGUUGUUGGAAGAAAACUGUGUUUCUAGAAAUUGUUGACACUGUUAGCAGAAUAGCUGUCAUUAGAACUUUUGCUGAGAGGAUUACCCUGUUUGAACCCCUGGUUGGUUGGAAGAUGCUUCCUUGAAUUAUAUGAGUUUCCAGUUUUGCAAAUUAAUAACGUGAUAGUGUACUUGGGUAAUCAUGACUUUGAAAUUUGAAGGCAUUAUAAUCAGAAUAUUGGGGACUGUACCUUCUUAAAUCUUAAUUUCUUAGCUGUGUGCAUCUGUGGAUUGCAAAAUUAGCACGCUGAAAAGUAAACCUGCAUUAUCUCUCUGAUAACACCAUAUGAGAUAAGAUCUCUAUUGGGAGUCAUUGUCAUUUGUAAUUGAUCUGCUAACCAUAAUAUUCCAUCACUUUGCUGUUUAUACUUGAGUAUCACUUUUGGUUGCCUAUCCAUGUCGAACUUGGAUACAAUUGAUUUCCACCCCUAUCUUUUGAUGCGACAUUUCAUGUGUACCCAUGUUAAAAAGAAUAGACUGCUUAUUAUUUUAUCCACACACAUGGAAGUUAGACAUGUAGGUCUCCGGCAUUUUGAGUGUGCUUAUUAUUAUCUACUUUCAACAUCUUCCUCUGUGCCUUGUGUUGUUUAAUGUAUCUCUUCAGAUUGAUGUAAUAAUCAGCCUUCCUGGUGUCAACUCUAAAAAACUUGUUUAGUUUAAUGUCCUAUUUGUUACCCUGAAAUGCUUGAACCCCCUUCUUGCUUUCAACUGUGUAUUUUGGAUCCCUUAUUUUACUUUACCAUUAUGAAAUGUUGGUUUGGCUUUCGUAAUUUAUUUGAUUAUUCUCUAAUUUUGUGCACUAACCAUUUUAUGUUUGGAUGUGUUGUAUAAAUGCAAAGGUGAGUCUUAAAACUUUUGUUGGAUAAUUUUAUGAAAAUUUCAGGUGGAAACAAUUUUGGAUAAGGAAAACUUUACACUAGAGGAGCUUCUUGAUGAGGAUGAAAUUAUUCAAGAAUGCAAAGCUCUGAAUGGACGUCUUAUCAAUUUGUAAUGCUCUUUUUAUAGCUAAUUGCUCUGUGCUUCUCCUUGCUUUUUCUGUAAUUGUUCUUUUUAAGCAUUUUGUUAACUGAGGAGAUGUUGUAAUUUAUUUAUUGGAAUUAAUUUCAUCAUAUCAAUGGCAAUAUAUUUAAGGAUAUUCUUAUUUUCUUUUAUCCACAUACAACAUUGUUAUGGAGGCUGAUACGUAUUGGUUUCAAUGGUCAUAUUGAAGUAGGGGAAAAACGACUUUUCCCUAUUUUUAAUAGGUUUUGAAUCCCAAUCCUAUUCUAGUUAAUGACACAUUUUAGCUCAUUCCAAUUUAAAAGACCUUCAAGCCUUUUUCUGCAGGAAAAAAAAGAUGAUUAAGACUUAUAGAAUUUGUAUUUUUAGAUUAAGGAUGAUUUAAUAGCUGCAUAAACAAAACUGGAAGGAAUUUUACAUUUUUAUAGAUGAUACUCUUCAAACCCCAUUCUUUUUUAGAUCCUUGUUAGUGAUAAUUGACAAGUCUAUUCUCCUUGAUAUGGGCUUAAUCAAAAGAUUCAUUAGGCAAAUUAUGAUGAUAUUUAUUUGGGCUCAUAUAUUGUCAAAAGCUUUGCAUCUGUUCAGACAGCUUUGUUAUAAUAGGUUUGUCCUUUUUUGGUUUAGCAGAAUCAUGGAAGGAAUUGAAUCUGGAUUACAUGGAAAUAUGUAAUACUUCCUUCAAUAGUUUCCUUUGUUUUUCCCCAUUUCUUUUCAUGAUCCCUGUUUGUAAUAUCGUGUUUACACGGUUUUCUAUGUCCUCCACAAAAGGUUUUUAUAUCAGAUAUGGAACAAUGUAUUUGUCUGCUGAGUUGUUGCAUUGCUCACUUCCUCUGUUCACUACCUUGAUUAAAUAAUUGCAAAUACUUUUAGCAUUUUAAAUUUACCAGAGCCUACAAGGACUUUGGCCAGAAUACUUUUUUUUUUCAGGAUGUAAACUGUGAUGCAAUUAGUUCAGCAUGUAGCAUCUCCUCCAUGGUUUUAAAUAACGGCCGUUACAUAACGUAACGGCCGUUAUGUAACGGGUUUUGGGGGGGCUGUUACCCGUUAUCCCGUUAUAUAACGGCCCCUCCUGAUCCCCUCCUGAUUUGCAGGCGCAACGGCCGUUACGCAAUGGUAACGGCCGUUACCGACCGUUACGCAAUGGUAACAGCCGUUACCGACCGUUACGCAAUGGUAACAGCCGUUACCGACCGUUACGUAACGGUAACGGCCGUUACCAAUAAUUAAAAUUCUUUUAUAUCUUUUAUCUUUUGCUCCCUAUUCUCGUUUUUAUUAGUUUCUACACUUUUCAGCAACUUCAAAGACUAUAUUUUUUAAGUUUUCUCUUCCCUUUCUCUUUCAAAUUUCAAUCUUCCUUGCAUAUUUCUCAUAUAAACUUAGAUCCAUUAUAAACUACUCUAUUUCCAAGCUUAUUUCUUAUAAAAACUUAGUUAAAUUUUAUCUAUUUUAGUUUUUAAUUGUUGUUUUUUUUCCUUUUUUUUUUUGUAAGUUUUUGUGGAUUAAAGUGUUAGUUUUGAGUUAAAAUUGUAUUUUGAGCUAUUAGUUUACUCGAUUUAUAAAGAUUAUGUUGAUUUUUCUUAUUUUAAACUAUAUGAUGUUUAACUUAAGUUAAAUAAUCUAUAUUUUAUAUAUUUAUGUUUAUUAUGCAUUUGUAUACAUUAUUCUAAAUUAAAUCUAAUCAAUAUCAUUUUAUUUAUGAACUUUGCAAAUUUUUUAAAAAAAUUUGCGUAACGCCAGGCCGUUGCCGUUACCGUUACGUUACGGCCGUUAUAGGUCUUUUUCCAUUACCUGCGACCACGACCGCGAACGUAGCCGCGACCGCAAUUUAAAACCAUGAUCUCCUCUCCUUUCUCUUGGAUUUGUUGCUUAGUGCCUAUCCAUAUAGUGCGCAUUGCAAAUAUUUAACCAUUAGUUUUGGAUAGUGAGGUAUACAUAUGAGAGAUGUCUUUAAAAAUACGUUUAAUAUUGUUGUUGUGUAAUCUUUUGGCAUGAUGGUCAACAUAUACGUCUAUUGGCAAGUAUCAGUUUAUUGAUGCAUAGACUGGAAUCCUCAAGUCUUUUGUAUAUCCUCUGAAAUUGAAUCUUUAAUUCCUUACCAAGUCCAGUUCAUUUAGAUUCUCGAAACUUAUUUUUAUGUUGUCUUGCACUGCAGCUUGCGAGAAAGGACUCAAGUUGAACAAUUGAUUCGCUUUAUUGUGGAAGAAGCUCCUGAGGAUGCUGAAAAGAGGCGAUCUUUUAAGUAGGUUUCUAUGGAUAGCCAUGUUAACAUUUUGCAAUUAUUAUAAUAUAUCUGGAUGGUUCUCCCCCUCCUCUUGGAUGAUGGUGUUGUUGGGAUGGAUUAUGGUUGAUAUUGUUGUUUCGUUUUGUCCUUAGGUUUGCUUUCAUUGCAUGUGAGAUAUUUACUUGUGAGGUUGAUAUUCUACUCAAAACACUGGUGGAGGAUGAGGAGGUAUGAAGUGUCCCCCUCAAUACAGCUGCAUGAUCUACGUAAAAAUUUUCACCAGACUUACUUUUUCUUGUUCUGCAUCCAACAGUUAAUGAAUUUGUUAUUUUCCUUUUUGGAACCAAAAUGCUCGCACAGCACACUGUUGGCUGGGUACUUCAGUAAGGUAUGUCCUGAUGAACUUUGGAAGUUACAAAAUCGAUAAAACAAAACAGAGGAAUUUUCAAGCAUUGAUCUGGUUUUUUUUCCCUUUAUUUUGUGAAGAAGUAAUAUAUAUAUAUAUCACUUCAUUGGGAUUUUAUGUUCAAAUAUUUUGUUGCUAGGUUGUCAUAUGUCUAUUGUUGCGGAAGACAGUUUCUUUUAUGCUUUAUAUUAAGGUAAAGUAACCCUUUCUCACAUAAGGAAAAUUCUUACUUAUUAGAUGUAAUGCAUAUUAUUGUCACUUUAAGCAUUUUUCGGACAGAGAAACAACUACAAAAAGAUAAUUCUAAGGUUGUUAAGGAAUUGAAACCAAGUGUUUUAAUUCGAUUUCUCAUACAUUGCUUUCAUUGAUCCUUCUCACUAGUUUUUGAAUUCCUCUAUUUAUAGGUUACUUAAAAUUGCUUUUUUUUUAAAAAUUUUGGAAAUAAGUACGAAUCCACCACUAUACAUUUUACUAUGGGCCAAAUAAAUCAAUUUCAACUUUUUUGGGCCAAAUAGGCCGACAACUUUACAUUAUGGGCCAAAUAGGUCCCACCUCCAUAUUAAAAUACUAAUUUCUAAUAAUAAAAUAUAAUUUUGAUUAUUACUUGAAUAUAAUUGCCUCGUAUUAUCAUGAUUAUAUUUAUAUUUAUGCAUUUUCCUUUUCUAAAUUUUAUUAUUAUGUAUUUAAAAGAAUUGGUGAUUGUAUAUUAAAAUUCUAAAGAACCAUAAUAUUGGGUUAAUUGCUAUCAUAUCCUGCAUUUUGUCAAAACUAAUUACUUAGUCUUAAAAAAAUUUGAAAAUAUCUUUAUAUUUGUAAAAUUAAACCCUUUUUAGUCAUUUUUGUAAAAAGAAUACAUUAGUCCACAUGUUUUGAGGUUUUAUGAGAGGGACUAAAUAGUAUAGAUAGUUAAAAUUAUGUGACUAAGUAGUAUUGGUAGUUAAAAUACAAGAAAUAAUAGCAUAAAUUCAAGGCUAAAAAGUUUUUUUGUUUUUUGAUAGAAAGACUAAAGAGUGUGAUUUACAAACUACAUGGAUGUUCUAAUUAUGUUUUAGAAAAAUUAGGACUAAGCAAUUAAUUUUGUCAUAUACAAGGACUUCAUGGUUGUUUAGCUUAUGUUUUCUAAUAGCUCAAGUGGUACAAAUGCUUCUUUAUUUUAAGGAAAAACUCUUGCAAGAAGAAGCAGGUUGUAAGUUUGAUCUUUUUAUAAUGUCUGCAUGAGGGGAAAGUUGGAGGGAAGGAAAAUAAAUUAAGGAAAAUAAUUGAGAAUUGGCACAUUCUUUGAUUGGGAAGUGAGGAAAAAUAUGUAAGUAGAGAAAAUAAACUUUAUUUUACCUUUAUUAUUUUCUUUUCACUUCUUUUUCUUCCCAAACAGGGGAAAAUAAGGGUAUUUCCUUUUCCCUAUUUUUAUUUUCAACCAGUUCAAACAUGAUGAGAGAAAAUAAAGAGUGGAAAAUAAACUCUAUUGUCUUUUUGUUAUUUUACUCCCUCUCUCAUGAUUUAUCCAAACAAAGGGCUGGUAGUGGUAAUGUGGUAUAAUGCUAUGCUUCAUUUUUUUUUCCCCUUCCAUAAUGCUAUGCAUCUGAAAUUCAGUAAUAAUCAAUAGUUUGACUUCCCACAAAUUGAAAUUGUGGAGAUAAUACAUGAUAAAAUUAUGUGAUAUCAAGAGAAUUUCUUAUAAAAUCAAAUUAUAGUAUGAUAAAGUACGAGACUUGAGAUUUUCACAUAGAGAUGAUUCGAAAUAAUAUACAUUGGAUGAUAUUAAUGGCAUCACAAGAUUGAAGGCCAUGAUUGCAACAAAAUAAUAUAUAUUUGAAAUAAUGUCUUUAUGAUGGUGAGGGUGGUUCUUAAUCGUCAUGUUCAUUUAUACAAUUUUUUGGGGGUAUGAUCUCUUAAAUAUAUUGUAAUCUGUCAGUGUUAAAAGGUUAGAAUUAGUGGCAAUACACUGACAAAUUAGAACUACUAGUUUCUUUCUUCUCCUUUCAUUUGGAUGCUUGGAGGUUUUCCACGGAUGAGAAAUCAGGACCAUUAUGUUAUUUUUUUAGUCACAAUUAUUGCUUUUAUGUCUAAUUAUGCAAAAAAUAAAUUACUUGUGCAAUUAAUAACAAUUAUAAUUGAAAAUUCACUGCAACUGAAAUUGUUGCUUUUGGAAAUUUGCACCGUUCAUCAUAUGCUGUUGAUGAGAUCAAAUGUUCUGAACUUUAGAUGUCUGAUCCUGUAUGUUGAGUUGAAAAUAUUUGUUAAUAAGUCUAACCAAUUGCUUCCUUAUAUUAUUAUAAGGAAUAUUUAUAACUUUGGAUGAACAUGUCUCCAUUUAUGGAAUUAUAAAUUGGUGAUAAUAGAUGGUGGCCUUUGUUUCCAAUCAGCAGCAUUUUGAUUUUAAAAAAUAAUUAAAAAAGUUUAAUAAUGAUUUGAAAUUUGAUUUUUUCUAUUGAUUUUUGUUGGUUUUGAAACCACCCCCACCCCCCUGAGUAGUUUGGUAUGAGCUAAAAGAUCUUGGGGAGUUGAGCUUUUUGUCUCAAAGGGGUGCUGUGCCACUUAGUUUUCACAAUAUAUUAUAUUUUCAAAUGAUCUAUUGAUAAUUCUUAUUUCAUGCCGUUUUUAACUUAAUUUGCAGUUGAGGUAUUACUUCAGCUUUAUAUAUUAUUGAUGUGUUAAUAAUUUGUCUAGUGGCAGUGAAUCAAUUGUUUAACUUUGUUGAUGUUUCUAAACUGAUGUGCUGUCUUUGUGCUGCCUUCCAGGCUCAUCAGCAAAUUCUCCAGCAGCUAGUUGACUUGAUUGGGAUUACAUCUAUCAUGGAGGUUCAUAGUUACUUGUUUUUGCUUUUGAUAUUCCAAAUUAUUCCUUGGAUGUUUUGUUUUGCAGUAAACAUCUGCACUUGUUUCAUACAAUGUGCUCCUUUGCUCUCUUUUCCUUUUUAUGCUUGUAAAUUGCAUUUGUACGUGCACAUGUGUUUAUAAUUUUUGGUUUAAUAACGAUUAAAUCAAAUUGUAUCCUCCUUUGAGGUCAGAAUAGUACAUGGAACUUGUAAUCACCUUCUCACACUCACAGCCAAUACCAGAAAUACACAGGAUUUUGAAGGUUCUUCUUGGGAUAAUGUUACUUGUCCAACCAAAGAAGCAUAUCCAUUAACUGUAUUCCACUAUUGUACAGGUACUAAUACGUCUGAUUGGUGCUGAUGAGCAUAUGUAUAACAACUGUACGGAGGCAAUGCAGUGGAUAGAAGAAACAGAUGUGCUGGAGAUGAUUGUGGACAAGUUCAGCUCUUCUGUAAGUUACUGUAAAUCUCUGAGUGACAUUUGUUGGAUACAGGUUGAUUGGUGUCAAAACAAAUGCUUUUGGAAUUGAUUUUGAAGGAUUCCCAAGAGGUGCACGCAAAUGCAGCUGAAGCUCUCUGUACUAUGACACGAUUUGCUUCUCCUGGUCUUGCUGCCAAAAUCUCCAGCCCAAAGUAGCAUUUGCCUCUUACUCUUGUGUGGCAUAAACCUUUUCUUCCCCUGCUCCUGUCUCUUCUGUGGUCUGAUUGUCGAUAUAUGUCUGUGUGCCUCUCUGCAGUUUCAUUGGAAGAUUGUUUCGUCAUGCUUUGGAAGAAUCACGGCCAAAAUCUGUCCUUGUUAACUCGUUGUCUAUAUGCAUAUCCUUGUUAGACCCUAAAAGGCCAACCUUGGGGACAUAUCAUACAUUUAACCGCCAACUUAAUCAUGAGUCCACAGUAACUGCCAGUCCUGAGACAGUAGAAGGGAUGCUGAAGAGCUUAGGUAAGGUUCUCUUUUGAUGAUCUAAACUGCUGUUCCUCCUGCUUCCUUACUUUUUUGGUGUUUAAGGAAAAAAGAUGAGGCUGCUAACAUCAUGAAAAGAACUAAGUUUGGAAGGAAAUUUUCUUAAUUUCUAUCAUCAAUAUAACUUGGAUACUAUGAAG
rnacentral:lncRNA from 1 species